rnacentral:rRNA from 1 species
AACGAACGCUGGCGGCAUGCCUAACACAUGCAAGUCGAACGAGACCUUCGGGUCUAGUGGCGCACGGGUGCGUAACGCGUGGGAACCUGCCCUUAGGUUCGGAAUAACUCCCCGAAAGGGGUGCUAAUACCGGAUAAUGUCUUCGGACCAAAGAUUUAUCGCCUUUGGAUGGGCCCGCGUUGGAUUAGCUCGUUGGUAGGGUAAAAGCCUACCAAGGCGACGAUCCAUAGCUGGUCUGAGAGGAUGAUCAGCCACACUGGGACUGAGACACGGCCCAGACUCCUACGGGAGGCAGCAGUGGGGAAUAUUGGACAAUGGGCGAAAGCCUGAUCCAGCAAUGCCGGGUGAGUGAUGAAGGCCUUAGGGUUGUAAAGCUCUUUUACCCGGGAUGAUAAUGACAGUACCGGGAGAAUAAGCUCCGGCUAACUCCGUG